GAUGAACGCUGGCGGCGUGCUUAACACAUGCAAGUCGAACGAAGCAUUCAUGACAGAUUCUUCGGAUGAUGGAUUGAUUGACUGAGUGGCGGACGGGUGAGUAACGCGUGGGCAACCUGCCUCAUACAGGGGGAUAACAGUUAGAAAUGACUGCUAAUACCGCAUAAGCGCACAGUACCGCAUGGUACGGUGUGAAAAACUCCGGUGGUAUGAGAUGGACCCGCGUCUGAUUAGCUAGUUGGUGGGGUAACGGCCUACCAAGGCGACGAUCAGUAGCCGGCCUGAGAGGGUGAACGGCCACAUUGGGACUGAGACACGGCCCAA
rnacentral:rRNA from 1 species